CAGCAAUUUUGACAGCCUUAUGGUUUGUAUAUUAUAGGCUAGUAUACUAUGUUGAGAUAACCCUGAUGGGAUGCUACCUUGUCUCAAUACAUUUUUACUUUGAACUCUGGCCAAAGUAGCCUUAUGGUCAGGUUUAGCACAGCCCCACACAUUGUGAACCCACUUAUUAUAAUGUUCAGUGGAACACAUGAAGCUAAGUUUAAUCCAGGGCUUAAAAUUCAUUUUUCAAAAUG